rnacentral:rRNA from 1 species
AUUGAACGCUGGCGGCAUGCCUUACACAUGCAAGUCGAACGGUAACGGGCCUUCGGGUGCCGACGAGUGGCGAACGGGUGAGUAAUACAUCGGAACGUGCCCGAUCGUGGGGGAUAACGAGGCGAAAGCUUUGCUAAUACCGCAUACGAUCUACGGAUGAAAGCAGGGGACCGCAAGGCCUUGCGCGGACGGAGCGGCCGAUGGCAGAUUAGGUAGUUGGUGGGAUAAAAGCUUACCAAGCCGACGAUCUGUAGCUGGUCUGAGAGGAUGAUCAGCCACACUGGGACUGAGACACGGCCCAGACUCCUACGGGAGGCAGCAGUGGGGAAUUUUGGACAAUGGGCGCAAGCCUGAUCCAGCCAUGCCGCGUGCAGGAUGAAGGCCUUCGGGUUGUAAACAGCUUUUGUACGGAACGAAAAGCCUUCUUUUAAUACAGGAGGGUCAUGACGGUACCGUAAGAAUAAGCACCGGCUAACUACGUG